rnacentral:rRNA from 1 species
GACGAACGCUGGCGGCGUGCUUAACACAUGCAAGUCGAGCGGUAAGGCCCUUUCGGGGGUACACGAGCGGCGAACGGGUGAGUAACACGUGGGUGACCUGCCCUCAGCUCUGGGAUAAGCCUGGGAAACGUGGGUCUAAUACCGGAUAUGACUCCAUGACGCAUGUUGUGGGGUGGAAAGCCUUGUGCGGCUGAGGAUGGGCCCGCGGCCUAUCAGCUUGUUGGUGGGGUGAUGGCCUACCAAGGCGACGACGGGUAGCCGGCCUGAGAGGGCGACCGGCCACACUGGGACUGAGACACGGCCCAGACUCCUACGGGAGGCAGCAGUGGGGAAUCUUGCGCAAUGGGCGAAAGCCUGACGCAGCGACGCCGCGUGAGGGAUGACGGCCUGG